rnacentral:rRNA from 1 species
GACGAACGCUGGCGGCGUGCUUAACACAUGCAAGUCGAACGGUGAAGCUCCAGCUUGCUGGAGUGGAUCAGUGGCGAACGGGUGAGUAACACGUGAGCAACCUGCCCCUGACUCUGGAAUAAGCGCUGGAAACGGCGUCUAAUACUGGAUACGAGAAGGGUCCGCAUGGGCACUUUCUGGAAAGUUUUUCGGUUGGGGAUGGGCUCGCGGCCUAUCAGCUUGUUGGUGAGGUAAUGGCUCACCAAGGCGACGACGGGUAGCCGGCCUGAGAGGGCGACCGGCCACACUGGGACUGAGACACGGCCCAGACUCCUACGGGAGGCAGCAGUGGGGGAUAUUGCACAAUGGGCGAAAGCCUGAUGCAGCGACGCCGCGUGAGGGAUGACGGCCUUCGGGUUGUAAACCUCUUUCAGCAGGGAAGAAGCGAAAGUGACGGUACCUGCAGAAGAAGCACCGGCUAACUACGUG